GGGCGAUUAGCUCAGGGGCAGAGCACUUCCUUGACGCGGAAGGGGUCAGAGGUUCAAAUCCUCUAUCGCCCACCC
rnacentral:tRNA from 1 species